UGUACCCUGGUGUAGCGGCACGUAAGAUUUUGAUUCUUAAGGUAAUGGUUCUUGUACCAUUGGGUAUAA
rnacentral:tRNA from 1 species